rnacentral:rRNA from 1 species
AUGCAAGUCGAGCGGGCGUAGCAAUACGUCAGCGGCAGACGGGUGAGUAACGCGUGGGAACGUACCUUUUGGUUCGGAACAACACAGGGAAACUUGUGCUAAUACCGGAUAAGCCCUUACGGGGAAAGAUUUAUCGCCGAAAGAUCGGCCCGCGUCUGAUUAGCUAGUUGGUGAGGUAAUGGCUCACCAAGGCGACGAUCAGUAGCUGGUCUGAGAGGAUGAUCAGCCACAUUGGGACUGAGACACGGCCCAAACUCCUACGGGAGGCAGCAGUGGGGAAUAUUGGACAAUGGGGGCAACCCUGAUCCAGCCAUGCCGCGUGAGUGAUGAAGGCCCUAGGGUUGUAAAGCUCUUUUGUGCGGGAAGAUAAUGACGGUACCGCAAGAAUAAGCCCCGGCUAACUUCGUGCCAGCAGCCGCGGUAAUACGAAGGGGGCUAGCGUUGCUCGGAAUCACUGGGCGUAAAGGGUGCGUAGGCGGGUCUUUAAGUCAGGGGUGAAAUCCUGGAGCUCAACUCCAGAACUGCCUUUGAUACUGAGGAUCUUGAGUUCGGGAGAGGUGAGUGGAACUGCGAGUGUAGAGGUGAAAUUCGUAGAUAUUCGCAAGAACACCAGUGGCGAAGGC